rnacentral:rRNA from 1 species
AGCCGGGAUUGCCUUAGUAACGGCGAGUGAAGCGGCAAAAGCUCAAAUUUGAAAUCUGGUACCUUCGGUGCCCGAGUUGUAAUUUGGAGAGGGCAACUUUGGGGCCGUUCCUUGUCUAUGUUCCUUGGAACAGGACGUCAUAGAGGGUGAGAAUCCCGUGUGGCGAGGAGUGCGGUUCUUUGUAAAGUGCCUUCGAAGAGUCGAGUUGUUUGGGAAUGCAGCUCUAAGUGGGUGGUAAAUUCCAUCUAAAGCUAAAUAUUGGCGAGAGACCGAUAGCGAACAAGUACAGUGAUGGAAAGAUGAAAAGAACUUUGAAAAGAGAGUGAAAAAGUACGUGAAAUUGUU